CAGUCGCCGCGGGAAUACAGAGGGUGCGAGCGUUAAUCGGAUUUACUGGGCGUAAAGCGUGCGUAGGCGGCUAAUUGAGUCGGAUGUGAAAUCCCCGAGCUUUACUUGGGAAUUGCAUUCGAUACUGGUUAGCUAGAGUGUGGGAGAGGAUGGUAGAAUUCCAGGUGUAGCGGUGAAAUGCGUAGAGAUCUGGAGGAAUACCGAUGGCGAAGGCAGCCAUCUGGCCUAACACUGACGCUGAGGUACGAAAGCAUGGGGAGCAAACAGGAUUAGAUACCCGCGUAGUCCCUGUCUCUUAUAC
rnacentral:rRNA from 1 species